rnacentral:rRNA from 1 species
GACGAACGCUGGCGGCGUGCUUAACACAUGCAAGUCGAACGGAAAGGCCCUGCUUUUGUGGGGUGCUCGAGUGGCGAACGGGUGAGUAACACGUGAGUAACCUGCCCUUGACUUUGGGAUAACUUCAGGAAACUGGGGCUAAUACCGGAUAGGAGCUCCUGCUGCAUGGUGGGGUUGGAAAGUUUCGGCGGUUGGGGAUAGACUCGCGGCUUAUCAGCUUGUUGGUGGGGUAGUGGCUUACCAAGGCUUUGACGGGUAGCCGGCCUGAGAGGGUGACCGGCCACAUUGGGACUGAGAUACGGCCCAGACUCCUACGGGAGGCAGCAGUGGGGAAUAUUGCACAAUGGGCGGAAGCCUGAUGCAGCAACGCCGCGUGCGGGAUGACGGCCUUCGGGUUGUAAACCGCUUUCGCCUGUGACGAAGCGUGAGUGACGGUAAUGGGUAAAGAAGCACCGGCUAACUACGUG